CCUACGGGAGGCAGCAGUAGGGAAUCUUCCACAAUGGACGAAAGUCUGAUGGAGCAACGCCGCGUGAGCGAUGAAGGCCUUCGGGUCGUAAAGCUCUGUUGUUAGGGAAGAACAAGUACCCGGAGGUAACUGCCGGUACCUUGACGGUACCUAACCAGAAAGCCACGGCUAACUACGUGCCAGCAGCCGCGGUAAUACGUAGGUGGCAAGCGUUGUCCGGAAUUAUUGGGCGUAAAGCGCGCGCAGGCGGUCCUUUAAGUCUGAUGUGAAAGCCCACGGCUCAACCCGUGGAGGGUCAUUGGAAACUGGGGGACUUGAGUGCAGAAGAGGAAAGCGGAAUUCCACGUGUAGCGGUGAAAUGCGUAGAGAUGUGGAGGAACACCAGUGGCGAAGGCGGCUUUCUGGUCUGUAACUGACGCUGAGGCGCGAAAGCGUGGGGAGCAAACAGGAUUAGAUACCCUGGUAGUCCACGCCGUAAACGAUGAGUGCUAAGUGUUAGGGGGUUUCCGCCCCUUAGUGCUGCAGCUAACGCAUUAAGCACUCCGCCUGGGGAGUACGGCCGCAAGGCUGAAACUCAAAGGAAUUGACGGGGGCCCGCACAAGCGGUGGAGCAUGGUGGUUUAAUUCGAAGCAACGCGAAGAACCUUAC
rnacentral:rRNA from 1 species